GUCAUCAUUUCGUCUGUAAUGCCUGUGGUCAGCCCAUCUGAGCACCCUGAAGCCGUCGCUCAGAGCGGAAGCUUGCUGUAAGUGAUUCAAGUAGUCUGCAGUGGCACUGAGCGUACCCUGGCUGGCUGCUUAAGCAAAGCCUCCUGGUGUGGUCAGGUUGCAUAUGGUGCUGUGUUUGUUGCUGUCCUUUGGAAUGCAACAAAAGCUCCUAGGGCAAAGGACUCUAUUUUAAGCAAAAAGAAAAGAGCAAGAAUAUGUACCUAGUGACCAUAGCUUUUUCUGAUUACGGAUCUUUACCUUGAAUCCUUUUCCUAAAAAGAAGUAAUGAUGCCACCUACUGGCCGAGGACAGACCACUUCUGGGAUCAGGUACUUGGUAAUGAAGCUUGCGUGUUCUGUCCUAUGCUGCAGUUUCACAGAGAUAUGAAAUCAGUAGUUACUGGGCAGCUGUAUCUUAGCUGGUUGGAAAGUGACACAAUAUAUACACUUGGCAUGCUUGGAAAGCACGUUUCUUUUCCCGGGAAAAGUACCAUGAAGUGUGACUUGGGUCUUAGCUUCAAAUGCCAGAGGCGUUAAUAGAUUGCUACGAAGAGCUGAAGAACACAGAAAACUAUAACCUCAGGAGGUGAGGGACUGAGAAGGGGGUGACAUGCAGAUUUGUUAGGAAGUACUUUAUGUGACUUCUGCAUUAUAUCUAGCCCAAGAAAUGAAUUCGCAAGACUUCUAGAAAAACAAAACAAACAAACAAACCCCCCUACAUCUGGUUAAUCAGCAUCACAAUCACAAUAGUAAUACUUUGAAGGGAAGUUACCAUGGAAAGAACUAGGAUGCAAGCAGCAAAGAAACACUGCAGUGGGACUGUGAAGAGGAUUUUGAUGUAAAGUAAUGCAAGGAUCCAAGUAUAAGAAAAUUCAUGCAAUUAGUGGCAUCAUGCAAUUGCAUCUGCAAAGUCCUGACUUUGUUCAGCAGAGAAGUGAUUUGGAGCAUACUGACAGUACAAGGGUCUGUGUUAACUGGAAAGAAAAAAAAUCUUUGUUGACAAAGGUGCUGCCAGGACACUUGCCUAACUGAUGAGCUACUUUGUGAUCCACAGCAAGGAAGGCCAAACUUCCGUGUCUCUAGUUUUACUUCACUGCUUAAUUAUUUCUCACAGAAGAGGAUGUCUCUUUUAACUGAUUUGUAAGAUACAUAUAACAGCUAACCUUUUGGCUCUAUCGCCAUAUUAUAAAUACACACUGCAUGUGGUUUGUUUCCAAGAGCCUUCCAAACUUAAAAAGAAGCAAGAACCUAUGAACUAUGCAAGUAGCUGAAGAUAGUUCUGCAAUAUUUUUGGCAAGUGUCAUACAAGAAGUUGCAACAAAUACAGACGAAAUCCUGUAAUAAUUUAAUACCAGACUGCAUUCUGCUUUCCAUACAGUAUAUCCCAUGCAUUAUUUGUUGCGCUGCAAAUUUUCUUUAUUGUCACAUGUUACAUUACAGGAGUUAUCAAGAGGGAAGCUAGAAAUGUUGGCAGCUGCACAGAAGGAUAGACAGGGAUUUUGUCAUCCAUAGAGGGUAACAUUUCUUAGGAGGACUCUAACCAGAGCCUUCAUUUUAUCACUCUUCUCCAAGACAGUCUGCAUGUGCUGCUUGCAGCCCAGCAGUGGGAGAGAAACAAGCUACUUCAUGUUUGUCUCUUUGAUAUACCAGAAGUGUUCAUUCUCCAUGGAAAUCUGAAUUUCUGUAGAAAUUCAUCCCAGCACUGUGGUUCAGCUACCUUGUCAAAAACAGCAAGCAAUGGAGCAAAAGAACAGACAAUGACAAUAGACAAGAAUCAGCAGAUUGGAACUCUCCCUGGCAGCAGCAAAAGAUGACAACAUCCCUCUGCUAUUCCUCCAUAUCAGUAGGUUAAUCCAGAAGGAGAGGGCAAGAUAAAUAUCACUAAGACUAUCAAGAAGCAGAAUAUAAAAGCUCAAGCUUUACACUGUACACUGCAGAUCCUGAAAGGGAAGUGCCAGGCUCGUCUUGUUGAGAUAAUGGGUUUUUAUGACUGUAGAUUGCAAGAAGAUGCACAUCCUUGGUAGACUUCAUUUAUGGGCCAUUUUGGUCAGACUGUCAAAGGGAAGCUGUCAUUUGAGAAAUUAUGGGCCAUGCUGUGUUCUGUUUCCCUAGGCUAGUCUGCUGUCUCAUUCAGCCUGGCUUCACAAAAUGCAAAUGCAUCCAUGUCUACGUCAAUGGACGUGUGUCCCUCAAAGUUAGUUUGUAAGUGUAUUGACCAAUUUCAACUCAAUUAAAAAGGGUUGAAAUCUCACCAAUAUAGUUGUGCAUAUCAUCUGGAGCUUGAUGUGGAGGGACAAAACUGAGCCUGUUUGCCAGCGAUGAUAUGGUGGGCUGGUUUGCAGGUCUUUCUGGGUUCAGCACAGCACAUGCUGUCUCUUGUCAAAAGUGGGUGUGGGGGUAAGUGUUACAGGAGAUAGGGAGCUGAAAUUACUGUGGGAGGGGAGAAUAUAGGGGACAGAGUACAUGUUGCUUGGAGGCUAUACUUAGUUAUUUCUGCUGCUUACAGUAUAACCUGUUUUAUUACCAGGACCUAAUUUGGUGUCUGGUGUUAAUAAUUAACGUAACCAGGUCUUCCCCUGUUACCCUUGAUUUCUAAUUAACAGUGUUAUAAGUAUUUUAAAUUGGAAAUAAAGUGUUGGCCUUUUAUUUGGACAAAACCAACAAGUCAUUACUCAAAGGAAACCACCCUGACGCUUACAUGGGUUUGGUGGUAGCACCAGGGAACAAUGUUCAAGAUCAUCAGGCUUCCUUUUCUGUGCCCUUUUUACCACGUAGUAAGGUACAAGGAGCCUCCAACAGACUUUGUGAAAUUGCCUUGUUCUGCACAAAUAGCUUUUAACCAUGUACAUCACUGUUUUCUUGAUGAUUCUUGUGGGUUCCUUCCAACUCAGGAUAUUCUGUGAUUCUAUGAUCCUCUGAGAAGAUGGGAGAACCAUCCUGCAGAGA